GUGGAGGCUAUAUACAGGGGGCACCGGUACCGAGUCAGUGUGGAGGUUAUAUACAGGGGGCACCGGUACCGAGUCAGUGUGGAGGUUAUAUACAGGGGGCACCGGUACCGAGUCAGUGUGGAGGUUAUAUACAGGGGGCACCGGUACCGAGUCAGUGUGGAGGUUAUAUACAGGGGGCACCGGUACCGAGUCAGUGUGGAGGUUAUAUACAGGGGGCACCGGUACCGAGUCAGUGUGGAGGUUAUAUACAGGGGGCACCGGUACCGAGUCAGUGUGGAGGUUAUAUACAGGGGGCACCGGUACCGAGUCAGUGUGGAGGUUAUAUACAGGGGCACCGGUACCGAGUCAGUGUGGAGGUUAUAUACAGGGGGCACCGGUACCGAGUCAGUGUGGAGGUUAUAUACAGGGGGCACCGGUACCGAGUCAGUGUGGAGGUUAUAUACAGGGGGCACCGGUACCGAGUCAGUGUGGAGGUUAUAUACAGGGGGCACCGGUACCGAGUCAGUGUGGAGGUUAUAUACAGGGGGCACCGGUACCGAGUCAGUGUGGAGGUUAUAUACAGGGGGCACCGGUACCGAGUCAGUGUGGAGGUUAUAUACAGGGGGCACCGGUACCGAGUUAGUGUGGAGGUUAUAUACAGGGGGUACUGGUACCGAGUCAGUGUGGAGGUUAUAUACAGGGGGCACCGGUACCGAGU